GAUGAACGCUAGCGGGAGGCCUAACACAUGCAAGCCGAGCGGUAGAGAUUCUUCGGAAUCUUGAGAGCGGCGUACGGUGCGGAACACGUGUGCAACCUACCUUUAUCUAGAGGAUAGCCUUUCGAAAGGAAGAUUAAUACUCCAUAAUAUAUUGAUUGGCAUCAAUUGAUAUUGAAAGCUCCGGCGGAUAGAGAUGGGCACGCGCAAGAUUAGUUAGUUGGUGAGGUAACGGCUCACCAAGACGAUGAUCUUUAGGGGCCUGAGAGGUGAUCCCCCACACUGGUACUGAGACACGGACCAGACUCCUACGGGAGGCAGCAGUGAGGAUAUUGGUCAAUGGGUGCAAGCCUGAACCAGCCAUCCCGCGUGAAGGACGACUGCCCUAU
rnacentral:rRNA from 1 species